UAGGCGGUGCCCGAAAGGCCUUAAAAGAGUAGGGG
ncrna:unclassified sequences DTF805b RNA